rnacentral:rRNA from 1 species
CCUACGGGAUGCAGCAGUGAGGAAUAUUGGUCAAUGGACGCGAGCCUGAACCAGCCAAGUAGCGUGAAGGAUGACUGCCCUACGGGUUGUAAACUUCUUUUAUAAAGGAAUAAAAUGAGGCACGUGUGCCUUUUUGUAUGUACUUUAUGAAUAAGGAUCGGCUAACUCCGUGCCAGCAGCCGCGGUAAUACGGAGGAUCCGAGCGUUAUCCGGAUUUAUUGGGUUUAAAGGGAGCGUAGAUGGGUUGUUAAGUCAGUUGUGAAAGUUUGCGGCUCAACUGUAAAAUUGCAAUUGAUACUGGCAGCCUUGAGUACAGUUGAGGUAGGCGGAAUUCGUGGUGUAGCGGUGAAAUGCUUAGAUAUCACGAAGAACUCCGAUUGCGAAGGCAGCUUACUAAACUGCAACUGACAUUGAUGCUCGAAAGUGUGGGUAUCAAACAGGAUUAGAUACCCGAGUAGUC